CAAUGAGAAUUUGAGGUUUAGCCACUGCUCCUUGAUCUGUUCUUACAGGUCAUCACCACAACAAAAUCAGCCAAAAUGGCUGUCUUUAAGUUUUUAAAAAUAAAGGCCUUCAGAGGGAAAACAUUACAGUAAGAAGCUAAGGUAGGGGAGUUCCACGGAUAAAGAGAACCAGGAAAGACUUUCUCGACACCAGAGAACCCAUUUUGGCCGAGGCCAUUCCCCAGUGCUAGCCCAGGAGCCCAUCCCAGUAAUUAGAGCGCUUACGGGAGAAAAUGCAGAAAUGAGGGAGGAGAAGGCCAGAAACAAUAGGGCAGCCUCGGGGCGGUCGGUUCCUCCAGGGAUUUACACAGGAACAGGACUUUUUUUUUUUACCUCACCAAGCAGCUUGUUAGAUGCUAUUUCCCCAACCGGGGAUCAGAGGCAAUCCCCCUGCAGCGGAGGAGGGGACUCCACCGGACCACCGGGGAAAGCUCACAUAAGGAUACACGACCGAGCUCUGCAGGAGCCGUGGCCCCACCAGGUAGAGGAUGCGAGUUCAACCCACUGAGCCUGGACUCUGUCGACCUUUGCCCCAGUUCUGUGCUGAAUUCUCUACUCAAGCCCUCUCACACCUCAGCAUCUACCCUUAGCUUAAAACGUCCCCAAAUUUGCUGUUUGGGGAGACCCUGCUUUGGGAGAGAUCCCCAGGGUUCUUCCUAUUUGCUCUGAGGAAUAAAUCCUUCUUCCUCCCGAUUUUUGGCUUGGUUGUGUCUAUUGGCUCAGCACCCACCAAGAGGUGGGCCCAGCUGUUAGGUAUCUUUGCCUGGCUGAGUCACUAGCUGGCUGGGCAGGGGAGGCAGAGCAGCAGAGAGACACAGCCUGUGGGUUUCUGAGUGUGAAGUCAGGGGCUUUCUGUGCCACAAAUGGGGUUCGCAGUGCUUCGAGGGAGAACUGUGGAAAGGCACCACCAUGGAGAGGCCCGAGCGAGGCCCUGGGUCUGCAGCUGGUUCGUUAAAGACUUCUAACUGAGAAACACCGUCCUGGGGUGAAGCCCACGGUGGCUGUGACGGUGGAACGGACCCCCGCAAGCUCCCAUCCUGAACAACUGGUAACUACGCAGAGCAGCUGCAGCGGCAGUUUGCAGGACUGAACCACAGGCAGCACAAAGACAGGAGGGAAAAUCACAAGAGGAGCCCCUGCCCUUCACCACUUCCCUUCUUCCUGGCGACAGUUCCCCAAACACCACACAGCAGCUGGAACCCAGGCGGAGCCCCAAGGGCCUGCCUUUGGGCAGCAGAAAUGUCUGGAAGCGCCAGAGGGGCAUUCUCCCUGGCCAAGCCUCCGAUCUCGGUGCCUCAGCUUCCUCAUCUGUGACAGCGAGAUAAAAAGACCAUCAACUUCAUAAGACCAUUAUGAGGCUUAAAUAACCAAGUUAAAAUAUGCAGAAGCAUCAAAACCUUUAUACGGCGUGUGCUAAGGGCAACAUGUCUACCCUUUCAGUCCAGUCACUCAGUCGUGUCCGACUCUUUGCAACCCCAUGGACUGCAGCACGCCAGGCCUCCCUGUCCAUCACCAACUCUCGGAGUUUACUCAAACUCAUGUCCAUUGAGUCGGUGAUGCCAUCCAACCAUCUCAUCCUCUGUCGUCCCCUUCUCCUCCUGCCUUCAAUCUUUGCCAGAAUCAGGGUCUUUUCCAAUGAGUCAGUUCUUCACAUCAGGUAGACAAAGUAUUGCAGCUUCAGCUUCAGCAUCACUCCUUCCAAUGAAUAUUCAGGACUGAUCUCCUUUAGGAUGGACUGGUUGGAUCUCCUUGCAGUCCAAGGGACUCUCAAGAGUCUCCUUCAACACCACAGUUCAAAAGCAUCAAUUCUUCAGCACUCAGCUUUCUUUAUGGUCCAACUCACAUCCAUACAUGACCACUGGAAAUAGCAUAGCUUUGACUAAACGGACCUCUGUUGGCAAAGUAACGUCUCUGCUUUUUAAUAUGUUGUCUAGAUUGGUCAUAACUUUCCUUCCAAGGAGUAAGUGUCUUUUAAUUUCAUGGCUGUAAUCACCAUCUGCAGGGAUUUUGGAGAACAAGAAAAUAAAGUCUGUCGCUAUUUCCACUGUUUCCCCAUCUAUUUGCCAUGAAGUGAUGGGACCAGAUGCCAUGAUCUUCAUUUUCUGAAUGUUGAGUUUUAAGCCAGCUUUUUCACUCUCCUCUUUCACUUUCAUCAAGAGGCUCUUUAGUUCCUCUUUGCUUUCUGCCAUAAGGGUGGUGUCAUCUGCAUAUCUAAGGUUAUUGAUAUUUCUCCCGGCAAUCCUGAUUCCAGCUUAUGCUUCCUCCAGCCCAGGGUAUCUCAUGAUGUACUCUGCAUAUAAGUUAAAUAAGCAGGGUGACAAUAUACAGCCUUGAUGAACUCCUUCCAGAUUUGGAGCCAGUCCAUUGUUCCAUGUCUGGUUCUAACUGUUGCUUCCUGACCUGCAUGCAGGUUUCUCAGGAGGCAGGCCAGGUGGUCCAGUAUUCCCUUUACAUUUUCAGUGAAGAUAUGCUAAGUA
ensembl:lncRNA